AGCUCCAUAGUGUAGUGGUUAGCACGUCUGUUUUACAUGCAGAAGGUCCUGGGUUUGCGCCCCAGGUGGAGCCA
rnacentral:tRNA from 1 species